AAGGGUAGACCUCCCACCCUUGUGUAUUAUUACUUUGUUGCUUUGGCGAGCUGCCUUCGGGCCUUGUAUGCUCGCCAGAGAAUACCAAAACUCUUUUUAUUAAUGUCGUCUGAGUACUAUAUAAUAGUUAAAACUUUCAACAACGGAUCUCUUGGUUCUGGCAUCGAUGAAGAACGCAGCGAAAUGCGAUAAGUAAUGUGAAUUGCAGAAUUCAGUGAAUCAUCGAAUCUUUGAACGCACAUUGCGCCCCUUGGUAUUCCGGGGGGCAUGCCUGUUCGAGCGUCAUUUCAACCCUCAAGCUUAGCUUGGUAUUGAGUCUAUGUCAGUAAUGGCAGGCUCUAAAAUCAGUGGCGGCGCCGCUGGGUCCUGAACGUAGUAAUAUCUCUCGUUACAGGUUCUCGGUGUGCUUCUGCCAAAACCCAAAUUUUUCUAUGGUUGACCUCGGAUCAGGUAGGGAUACCCGCUGAACUUAAGCAUAUCAAAAGCCGGAGGAA
rnacentral:rRNA from 1 species